rnacentral:misc_RNA from 1 species
GUAUAAUACUUGUGGCCACGUGUCCCUUGUCUAGCCUAACCUUGUGCACGAGCACGAUUUGGCCGUGAGUCGUGACCCACAAAUAGCGCGUUACUCGUUCGACGUAAUGCCUCGUCGGGAAAUUCAGAAUCUGAAGCCUGAAUCAAAUUUUGCCGCAACCAAAAACAGCGAGCUACAGAAGCCAGAAUUAUGUGGAAGCGCAUAGCUUCGCUCUCCCCUUUGGUCUCCUCUUCGAAAUCAACCUUACCUAACCAGGCAUCAUAUGGGUUGAACAUCUGGAAAUCACUUUCUACUGGGAUAUGCACUCCGGUACUACUCUAGUUGCUUGAUUAUUUGUCUUUCUUCCUCAACCCAUCAUAAAAAGUUCUUGCUCCGCUGAGGCUGAGUUCAUUACUUAAGAUUGUGAAUGCGUGCUUUUACACUGUUACAAGAUGGUGCACAAAUUUUAUCUUUAGAUGAAUUGACUGGAAUUUUAGUGUCAAAAUUUUGAUCUCUGUUAUUUUGAUGGCUAUUAGUUAAUCUCUUCCACGCCAAGGCGUUGGAUUCCAUCAUAGCAUAACAAUACGGAUUCAUAAUGAGGUGAGGCGGAUCAUUGUGGGUGCUGUAGUGAAAUGAAACAAAAUAAAAUGAUUAAAUGAAAUCUGGUAGAGUAUAAGCUGGCAGUAGUUUGUGAGCCAACAUGAAUCUUCAAUUCCACUUGUCUAAACAUUGUUAGCAUUGAGUGUCAAUUCAUUAUUUGGUGUGCAUUAUUUGUUUGCACUUCUGAUUUGUCAAUGGCUGAUCCUUGCCUGCACAUGCAUGCUAGUAAGUAUUUAAAGGUUUUCCAGUUACUCGUGUAUGUUUGGAAUGGUUUUCCUCACAAAUUUUUUAUUAUUUGCAUGCAGGUAAGAUAUGGAAAUUUGCUCAAAGAGAAAACUCCAUUUAUUACUUUUGUCUUAGGUAAUAAUUGGACAUUUAUAAUAUCUUCUGUUUUCCUUUUAAUUUUUCAUUAUGCUAGUGUGAUAGACGCUAGUGGUAUGUUAGCAUAUAUAGACAAGUGCUACAGAACACUGCUUGUUGUAUGUUGGUGAUUUGUAUGUGAACUAAAGAUAAUGGAAUCAAGUUUGGUGAUUUGUAUGUGAACUAAAGAUAAUGGAAUCAAGUUUUCAGCAAAAGUCUUUGUUAAGAGUUUUUGAUAUGUAUAAGUGAGAUAUAUAUUGUUAUCCUUUCAUGUCUGGGAAAGCUCUCUGGGUAUUUCACAUUCUGGGGAAGUAGUUUAGAAACCAACAAAAUUUUAUAGAAUUUGUCAAACAUCUUGACUUUCAAAACUGAGCUUUUCAUGGUGAUGUGUUGCCAAAUAAGCCUUCUGUAAUUUUCAGUUCUGGAAUGGUAUAUAUCUGAGAAUUACCUUUUCAAUUUUAUUUUUAUGCACAAUAUCUAAGGUAGUUCCUUCUCAGGUGGUCCUGGUAGUGGAAAAGGUACACAAUGUAUAAAGAUAGCACAGACCUUUGGAUUCACACAUCUGAGUGCAGGGGAUUUGCUAAGGAGGGAAAUACUUUCUAACAGUGAAGAUGGAUUGGAGCAGAACCAAACGUUGUGCUUUUCUUUGACUGCCCAGAAGAAGAGAUGGUAAAACGAGUGCUAAACCGUAAUGAGGGCCGAGUUGAUGACAACAUAGAUACUAUCAAGAAGCGUCUUAAAGUAUUUUCAUCAUUAAAUCUUCCUGUUAUUGGCUACUAUUCAAAGAGAGGAAAACUGCGUACAGUAUGAAUAGACUCUAUGAAAUUAAUUGUUUAAACUAAACCACCUAAUGAUUAGUUGCCUUCACAAUUUCUUUUCUCUUAUGCAUGAGCACAAAAUAUGUUACCUAAAGAAGCCAAUAUGUGCAGAUCAAUGCAGUUGGAACAGUAGAUGAGAUUUUUGAACAAGUUCGCGCUGUUUUUACCGAAUGUGAGGUAUGCUGUCUUCUCAUUGUUUUUACUUUUCAGUGCUUACCAUUAUUUCAUGACCACUUACAAUUUUCAUCACCAUUAAGUACUUUCAAUUUUCAUCACCAUUAAGUAGUUUUGCACUGUGUUGAUCAUCACAUAAGUAUUGGCCUUCUUGACGUUGACAGAAUCAGAGGUUUUUCUUCACAACAAAUACUUACAUAAAGAUCCACUACUCUCUUUGUGUUGCGCUAACUAAUGCUAGGAUGAGAAUGUUAUUGCUUUUCUAUGCUUUUGAUUCUAAUUCAGAUUCUAUGCAGAUUGUAGCAGUAUCAGUGAAUUUAAAGCCAUUUAAUUCUGUGCGAAAUUUUGUUUAAAUACAUGUUCCUGCAUAGCAUUUCUGAAGGCCAAUGACCAAGCUAAAUUUCCUGUGACACAGGCAAUGAAAUGAAAGAUAGUUUUGAUCAAGGAUGAGCACCACAAAAUUUUUGGUACUUAGUUGGAGUUGCUCAGCAUUUUUGGGCCAGGAUGGUGCAGAUAGUUUGGCAAACCAUGAUUUCCUGAAAGGCUUAAAAUUCUGGGUUAAAGGAUUCGAGGAAUUUUACCUUUACAAGCAUUUCCCAGCCUAGACGGUGAAACUUAUUUUCCAUGUUUAUUGAUUUUGGUGAUGCGGGUAGAUAGCCUAAGGUGCAAUGAAACCUUUAUUACACGUCUGUUUGUAGAAUUUGGAAAGGAAACCAAAAAUGGCAAAAGCAAGAUCUUAUCAGACAAGACAUUAUUAUAUCACUUUAUUUCAUUAUUUGAUAGGAUUCCCUUCUCAAUAUUAAGUUACUGAAUGGUAGUGUUUUGCGGCUUCUAUAAUUUGUGGUUUCUGCAUAUUAUUACUAGAAAAUUUCUUUGAUGAG